GCUAAGAAUAUUCCGCAAUGGACGGAAGUCUGACGGAGCGACGCCGCGUGGAUGACGAAGGCCGAAAGGUUGUAAAGUUCUUUUGCUGGGGAAGAAUAACCGCAGGAGGGAAUGCCUGUGGGAUGACAAGAACCGGCGAAUAAGCCCCGGCCAACUACGUGCCAGCAGCCGCGGUAACACGUAGGGGGCGAGCGUUGUUCGGAAUUACUGGGCGUAAAGGGCAUGUAGGCGGCUUGGAAAGCCUGGCGUGAAAGUCUGCAGCUUAACUGCAGGGGUGCGCUGGGAACUGCUGAGCUUGAGUGACGGAGAGGGAGCUGGAAUUCCUGGUGUAGGGGUGAAAUCUGUAGAUAUCAGGAAGAACACCGAUGGCGAAGGCAAGCUCCUGGCCGAUGACUGACGCUGAGGUGCGAAAGUGUGGGGAUCAAACA
rnacentral:rRNA from 1 species